rnacentral:rRNA from 1 species
GCUCAAAUUUGAAAUCUGGCCCUCGGGUCCGAGUUGUAAUUUGUAGAGGAUGCUUUUGGCGCGGUGCCUUCCGAGUUCCCUGGAACGGGACGCCUUAGAGGGUGAGAGCCCCGUACGGUUGGACACCAAGCCUCUGUAAAGCGCCUUCGACGAGUCGAGUAGUUUGGGAAUGCUGCUCUAAAUGGGAGGUAAAUUUCUUCUAAAGCUAAAUAUUGGCCAGAGACCGAUAGCGCACAAGUAGAGUGAUCGAAAGAUGAAAAGCACUUUGAAAAGAGGGUUAAACAGCACGUGAAAUUGUUGAAAGGGAAGCGUUUGCGACCAGACCUCUCCCCGGCGGAUCAUCCGGCGUUCUCGCCGGUGCACUUCGCCGGGCUGAGGCCAGCAUCGGUUUCCGCGGGGGGACAAAAGCGGGGGGAACGUAGCUCCCUCGGGAGUGUUAUAGCCCCCCGCAUAAUACCCUCGCGGGGACCGAGGACCGCGCUUCGGCAAGGAUGCUGGCGUAAUGGUCGUCAACGACCCGUCUUGAAACACGGACCAAGGAGUCGAACAUUUGUGCGAGUGUUUGGGUGUCAAACCCUCACGCGUAAUGAAGGUGAACGUAGGUGAGAGCCUUCACGGGCGCAUCAUCGACCGAUCCUGAUGUCUUCGGAUGGAUUUGAGUAAGAGCAUAACUGUUCGGACCCGAAAGAUGGUGAACUAUGCGUGGAUAGGGUGAAGCCAGAGGAAACUCUGGUGGAGGCUCGCAGCGGUUCUGACGUGCAAAUCGAUCGUCAAAUCUGCGCAUGGGGGCGAAAGACUUAUCGAACCAUCUAGUAGCUGGUUACCGCCGAAGUUUCCCUCAGGAUAGCAGUGUUGUUCUUCAGUUUUAUGAGGUAAAGCGAAUGAUUAGGGACUCGGGGGCGCUCUUUAGCCUUCAUCCAUUCUCAAACUUUAAAUAUGUAAGAAGCCCUUGUUGCUUAGUUGAACGUGGGCAUUCGAAUGUACCAACACUAGUGGGCCAUUUUUGGUAAGCAGAACUGGCGAUGCGGGAUGAACCGAACGCGGGGUUAAGGUGCCGGAGUGGACGCUCAUCAGACACCACAAAAGGUGUUAGCACAUUUAGACAAUAGGACGGUGGCCAUGGAAGUCGGAAUCCGCUAAGGACUGUGUAACAACUCACCUAUCGAAUGUGCUAGCCCUGAAAAUGGAUGGCGCUCAAGCGUCCCACCCA